CGACCUCAGAGCAGGCGAGACUACCCGCUGAAUUUAAGCAUAUUACUAAGCGGAGGAAAAGAAACUAACAAGGAUUCCCCCAGUAGCGGCGAGCGAACAGGGAAGAGUCCAGCACCGAACCCCGCAGGCUGCCGCCUGUCGUGGCAUGUGGUGUUUGGGAGGGUCCACUACCCCGACGCCUCGCGCCGAGCCCAAGUCCAACUUGAAUGAGGCCACGGCCCGUAGAGGGUGCCAGGCCCGUAGCGGCCGGUGCGAGCGUCGGCGGGACCUCUCCUUCGAGUCGGGUUGCUUGAGAGUGCAGCUCCAAGUGGGUGGUAAACUCCAUCUGAGACUAAAUAUGACCACGAGACCGAUAGCGAACAAGUACCGUGAGGGAAAGUUGAAAAGAACUUUGAAGAGAGAGUUCAAAAGUACGUGAAACCGUUCUGGGGUAAACGUGAGAAGUCCGAAAGGUCGAACGGGUGAGAUUCACGCCCAUCCGGCCACUGGCCUCCACCCUCGGCAGAUGGGGCCGGCCGCCCGCGCGGAGCAAUCUGCGGCGGGGUCGUGUCCGGUUGCCUUUCCACUCGCCGCGGGGUGGGGCCGUUCCGGUGUGCGGUGGGCCGCACUUCUCCCCUAGUAGGACGUCGCGACCCGCUGGGUGCCGGCCUACGGCCCGGGUGCGCAGCCUGUCCUUCCGCGGGCCUCGGUUCGCGUCUGUUGGGCAGAGCCCCGGUGUCCUGGCUGGCUGCCCGGCGGUAUAUCUGGAGGAGUCGAUUCGCCCCUUUGGGCGCUCGGGCUCCCGGCAAGCGCGCGCGGUUCUUCCCGGAUGACGGACCUACCUGGCCCGGCCCCGGACCCGCGCCGCUGUUGGCUCGGGAUGCUCUCGGGCGGAAUAAUCGCUCCCGUCAGCGGCGCUUCAGCUUUGGACAAUUUCACGACCCGUCUUGAAACACGGACCAAGGAGUCUAACAUGUGCGCGAGUCAUUGGGCUGUACGAAACCUAAAGGCGUAAUGAAAGUGAAGGUCUCGCCUUGCGCGGGCCGAGGGAGGAUGGGGCUUCCCCGCCCUUCACGGGGCGGCGGCCUCCGCACUCCCGGGGCGUCUCGUCGUCAUUGCGAGGUGAGGCGCACCUAGAGCGUACACGUUGGGACCCGAAAGAUGGUGAACUAUGCCUGGCCAGGACGAAGUCAGGGGAAACCCUGAUGGAGGUCCGUAGCGAUUCUGACGUGCAAAUCGAUCGUCGGAGCUGGGUAUAGGGGCGAAAGACUAAUCGAACCAUCUAGUAGCUGGUUCCCUCCGAAGUUUCCCUCAGGAUAGCUGGUGCUCGUACGAGUCUCAUCCGGUAAAGCGAAUGAUUAGAGGCCUUGGGGCCGAAACGACCUCAACCUAUUCUCAAACUUUAAAUGGGUGAGAUCUCCGGCUUGCUUGAUAUGCUGAAGCCGCGAGCAAACGACUCGGAUCGGAGUGCCAAGUGGGCCACUUUUGGUAAGCAGAACUGGCGCUGUGGGAUGAACCAAACGCCGAGUUAAGGCGCCCGAAUCGACGCUCAUGGGAAACCAUGAAAGGCGUUGGUUGCUUAAGACAGCAGGACGGUGGCCAUGGAAGUCGGAAUCCGCUAAGGAGUGUGUAACAACUCACCUGCCGAAGCAACUAGCCCUGAAAAUGGAUGGCGCUGAAGCGUCGUGCCUAUACUCGGCCGUCAGUCUGGCAGUCAUGGCCGGUCCUUGCGGCCGGCCGCGAAGCCCUGACGAGUAGGAGGGUCGCGGCGGUGGGCGCAGAAGGGUCUGGGCGUGAGCCUGCCUGGAGCCGCCGUCGGUGCAGAUCUUGGUGGUAGUAGCAAAUACUCCAGCGAGGCCCUGGAGGGCUGACGCGGAGAAGGGUUUCGUGUGAACAGCCGUUGCACACGAGUCAGUCGAUCCUAAGCCCUAGGAGAAAUCCGAUGUUGAUGGGGGCCGUCAUAGCAUGAUGCGCUUUGUGCUGGCCCCCGUUGGGCGAAAGGGAAUCCGGUUCCUAUUCCGGAACCCGGCAGCGGAACCGAUACAAGUCGGGCCCCUCUUUUAGAGAUGCUCGUCGGGGUAACCCAAAAGGACCCGGAGACGCCGUCGGGAGAUCGGGGAAGAGUUUUCUUUUCUGCAUGAGCGUUCGAGUUCCCUGGAAUCCUCUAGCAGGGAGAUAGGGUUUGGAACGCGAAGAGCACCGCAGUUGCGGCGGUGUCCCGAUCUUCCCCUCGGACCUUGAAAAUCCGGGAGAGGGCCACGUGGAGGUGUCGCGCCGGUUCGUACCCAUAUCCGCAGCAGGUCUCCAAGGUGAAGAGCCUCUAGUCGAUAGAAUAAUGUAGGUAAGGGAAGUCGGCAAAUUGGAUCCGUAACUUCGGGAUAAGGAUUGGCUCUGAGGAUCGGGGCGUGUCGGGCUUGGUCGGGAAGUGGGUCAGCGCUAACGUGCCGGGCCUGGGCGAGGUGAGUGCCGUAGGGGUGCCGGUAAGUGCGGGCGUUUAGCGCGGGCGUGGUCUGCUCUCGCCGUUGGUCGGCCUCGUGCUGGUCGGCGGUGCAGGAUGCGCGCGCCUGCGCGGCGUUCGCGCCCCGGUGCUUCAACCUGCGUGCAGGAUCCGAGCUCGGUCCCGUGCCUUGGCCUCCCACGGAUCUUCCUUGCUGCGAGGCCGCGUCCGCCUUAGCGUGCUCCUCCGGGGGCGCGCGGGUGCGCGGAUUCUCUUCGGCCGCCAUUCAACGAUCAACUCAGAACUGGCACGGACUGGGGGAAUCCGACUGUCUAAUUAAAACAAAGCAUUGCGAUGGCCCUAGCGGGUGUUGACGCAAUGUGAUUUCUGCCCAGUGCUCUGAAUGUCAACGUGAAGAAAUUCAAGCAAGCGCGGGUAAACGGCGGGAGUAACUAUGACGAUGUCAUCCUGGGCAUGCUCCCGGAUGCCCUUGCGUCGGUCGGGUCCAGGGGGGAGAGGUCGAUCACCAGGACACAGCGGCCGCGCCAAUCAUCCAAGCGGCCGCCUGCCGCCCCGCCGCUGCAGAAGCGCAAGCGGCGCCGCUGGGAAUACGCGCGCACACAGGACGCCUUCCGUAGGUCGCGUGCACGUUGCGUGCGCGGCUUGCUGGACGGCACCCUGCUGCAGCCGCCACCCGACAUCCCCGGUCUGCUGGACUUCUGGGCGGACCUCUUCACGAAGAAGCCGAUCUCCACCGCCGGCUUCAUCCGUGACCGCCUUCUCCCGCACUCGGAGCCUGUCGCUCCUGAGUGCCUAUGGGGGCCGGUCACACGUGAGGAGGUCGCUGCUGCCUUGCCGCCCAGGGGAUCGGCAGCCGGGCCGGACGGCCUGACUCCAGCGGAGCUGCGGCGCCUGCCGCAUGAAGUCCUGGUGAAACUCUUGAACCUCUUCCUCCUGGCCCGCGCCCUCCCCGAGCGUCUGCUUCGCGCCCGGACGUCACUUCUCCCCAAAACGGCUGCACCAACAUCCCCCGCUGACUUUCGCCCCAUUACGGUCUGCUCGGUGUUGGCGCGGACCUUUCACAAGGUUCUCGCGUCACGCCUGAUGCGUGCAUGUGCUGUGGACGAACGUCAGCGGGCAUUCAUCCCCCGGGAUGGGAUGUUGGAAAACACCUUCAUCUUGGACACUGCUCUCACCGACGCAGUCCGCUCCUGUCGCUCUGUUUUUGUGGCAUCGAUCGACGUCUCUAAAGCGUUCGAUUCGGUGGACCAUGCUGCCCUCCGCCCCGUGCUGAGGGCUCAUGGCCUGCCGGAUUGCUUUAUUGAGUACGUCGAAAGGUGUUACGAGGGUAGCACGACAGUGAUAGCGGGCGGCGCCGACGUGGGCGUGCCCCUGCAGCCGGCUAGGGGUGUGCGUCAGGGUGACCCCCUCUCCCCCCUCCUUUUCAAUUUUGCGGUGGACUAUGUUUUGAGUCAACUUCCCUCCCACAUCGGAGCUCGGAUCCUUGGUCGCAGAGUUAACGCUGCGGCCUUCGCAGAUGACGUCCUGCUUUUUGCAUCGACCGCGAGGGGAUUGCAGUCCCUCAUCGACGCAGCCGUCGCAGCCCUCGCCCAUCUGGGGCUGCAGAUCAACGCCCGGAAGUGUUUCACCCUCGCCUUAGUCGCGUCUGGGCGCGACAAGAAGGUGAAGGUCGACGCCGACGUUACCUUCAAAGCGGGCAACGCCACCGUGCCCGCCCUACGUGUGGGUGAAACCUUCCGGUACCUGGGACUGCAAUUCUCCACCGCGGGUCGCUGCGUUUUCAACCCACGACGCCACCUGGUGGAGCAGCUGGACGUCAUCUCCCGAGCUCCGCUCAAGCCGCAACAGCGCCUCCACGCCCUCACCACCGUACUUCUGCCUGGCCUGUACCAUGGGCUGGCCCUCAGCCGCACCCGAGUGGGUGCGUUGAAAGCGGCAGAUGUGACCAUCCGUGCCGCCGUCAGGAGAUGGUUCCGCCUUCCGGCGGACACUCCCCUGGGCUACUUCCACGCUCCUGUAGCCCAGGGAGGCCUCGGCAUCCCAUCAUGCCGAUGGAUGGGGCCAACACUUCGCCGGUCCCGUCUCCUGGCGCUGAAGAGGAUUGGGCCAGCCGCCGACGGUGCAGGCCGGGACGAGGUGCAGCGUGAGAUUGAGGCGCUGGAGCGGCAUCUUAUGUGGGAGGGCCACCUCCUCAAAUCGUCGACGCAGGUUGGAGAGAUGUGGGCCGCGCGCCUGCACGUUGCCUUUGACGGUGCGGCGCUGUCAUCUUCCGCCGCCGUCAAGGGGCAACACCAGUGGGUCGCUGACACCAGUCGCCUGCUAUCUGGGCGUAACUUCAUCGACGCUCUCCGCGCCCGCAUCAACGCCUUCCCCACGAAGGCACGGCGCAGUCGCGGGCGGGAGGCGGACACCAGAUGCCGCGCGGGCUGCCAGGCCGUAGAGACCGCCAACCACGUGUUACAGGCUUGCUUCAGGACGCACGGGUCCCGGGUUAAGCGGCAUGACGCGAUCGUGCGCUAUGUCGCCCGUGGACUCGCGCAGAGGGGCUUCAAUGUCUCUGUGG